rnacentral:rRNA from 1 species
GUGCCAGCCGCCGCGGUAAUACGGAGGGUCCGAGCGUUAUCCGGAAUCAUUGGGUUUAAAGGGUCCGCAGGCGGUCAAUUAAGUCAGAGGUGAAAUCCCAUAGCUUAACUAUGGAACUGCCUUUGAUACUGGUUGACUUGAGUCAUAUGGAAGUAGAUAGAAUGUGUAGUGUAGCGGUGAAAUGCAUAGAUAUUACACAGAAUACCGAUUGCGAAGGCAGUCUACUACGUAUGUACUGACGCUGAGGGACGAAAGCGUGGGGAGCGAACAGGAUUAGAUACCCUGGUAGUCCACGCCGUAAACGAUGGAUACUAGUUGUUGGGCAUUAGCUCAGUGACUAAGCGAAAGUGAUAAGUAUCCCACCUGGGGAGUACGGUCGCAAGACUGAAACUCAAAGGAAUUGACGGGGGCCCGCACAAGCGGUGGAGCAUGUGGUUUAAUUCGAUGAUACGCGAGGAACCUUACCAGGGCUUAAAUGUAGUCUGACAGCUUUAGAGAUAGAGUUUUCUUCGGACAGAUUACAAGGUGCUGCAUGGUUGUCGUCAGCUCGUGCCGUGAGGUGUCAGGUUAAGUCCUAUAACGAGCGCAACCCCUGUCAUUAGUUGCCAGCAUGUAAAGAUGGGGACUCUAAUGAGACUGCCGGUGCAAACCGCGAGGAAGGUGGGGAUGACGUCAAAUCAUCACGGCCCUUACGUCCUGGCCACACACGUGCUACAAUGGUAUGGACAAU